GCCUCAAGGCUGGGGAUAACAUUUGGAAACAGAUGCUAAUACCGAAUAAAACUUAGUGUCGCAUGACACAAAGUUAAAAGGCGCUUCGGCGUCACCUAGAGAUGGAUCCGCGGUGCAUUAGUUAGUUGGUGGGGUAAAGGCCUACCAAGACAAUGAUGCAUAGCCGAGUUGAGAGACUGAUCGGCCACAUUGGGACUGAGACACGGCCCAAACUCCUACGGGAGGCUGCAGUAGGGAAUCUUCCACAAUGGGCGAAAGCCUGAUGGAGCAACGCCGCGUGUGUGAUGAAGGCUUUCGGGUCGUAAAGCACUGUUGUAUGGGAAGAACAGCUAGAAUAGGAAAUGAUUUUAGUUUGACGGUACCAUACCAGAAAGGGACGGCUAAAUACGUGCCAGCAGCCGCGGUAAUACGUAUGUCCCGAGCGUUAUCCGGAUUUAUUGGGCGUAAAGCGAGCGCAGACGGUUUAUUAAGUCUGAUGUGAAAGCCCGGAGCUCAACUCCGGAAUGGCAUUGGAAACUGGUUGACUUGAGUGCAGUAGAGGUAAGUGGAACUCCAUGUGUAGCGGUGGAAUGCGUAGAUAUAUGGAAGAACACCAGUGGCGAAGGCGGCUUACUGGACUGCAACUGACGUUGAGGCUCGAAAGUGUGGGUAGCAAACAGGAUUAGAUACCCUGGUAGUCCACACCGUAAACGAUGAACACUAGGUGUUAGGAGGUUUCCGCCUCUUAGUGCCGAAGCUAACGCAUUAAGUGUUCCGCCUGGGGAGUACGACCGCAAGGUUGAAACUCAAAGGAAUUGACGGGGACCCGCACAAGCGGUGGAGCAUGUGGUUUAAUUCGAAGCAACGCGAAGAACCUUACCAGGUCUUGACAUCCUUUGAAGCUUUUAGAGAUAAAAGUGUUCUCUUCGGAGACAAAGUGACAGGUGGUGCAUGGUCGUCGUCAGCUCGUGUCGUGAGAUGUUGGGUUAAGUCCCGCAACGAGCGCAACCCUUAUUGUUAGUUGCCAGCAUUCAGAUGGGCACUCUAGCGAGACUGCCGGUGACAAACCGGAGGAAGGCGGGGACGACGUCAGAUCAUCAUGCCCCUUAUGACCUGGGCUACACACGUGCUACAAUGGCGUAUACAACGAGUUGCCAACCCGCGAGGGUGAGCUAAUCUCUUAAAGUACGUCUCAGUUCGGAUUGUAGUCUGCAACUCGACUACAUGAAGUCGGAAUCGCUAGUAAUCGCGGAUCAGCACGCCGCGGUGAAUACGUUCCCGGGUCUUGUACACACCGCCCGUCACACCAUGGGAGUUUGUAAUGCCCAAAGCCGGUGGCCUAACCU
rnacentral:rRNA from 1 species